CCGAGGGCGCCCAAGGGAAUCGGGUGCUCCUCCCGCUCCGCCUGGCCCAAUGCGUGAGGACUUGCGGAGCAGUCCUAGCCGAGCUGCCGCGCUUGACCUUGACGGCUGCGCUUUACCGGCCUCUGGCCGGCUGCCAGGCAACAGCGCCCCGCCCCGCGGGUCUGCGGCUGCGGCACCGCCCCUCCCUCCCUCCAGCGGAGGCGGGCGCUGGAUCCUAGGUUGAUCCAGGCCGGGUUUUGCGGCGGAGUCCGCGCGUGCUGAUUCCUCUUCGGUUGCCCUCGGCAGCGGUCGGCGGCGGGAGACCAUGGUGCUGGAGGAACUGUGGGCCGCGCUCUCCGGCUCCUCCGGGGCUACCCUGGCUUGCUGCUUGGUGGCGGCGGCCUUGGCCCUGCGCUGGUCCAGUCACCGGACGGCGCGGGGCGCGGCGGCCCGGGCACGACAGAGGCAGCAAGCGGCCCUGGAGACCAUGGACAAGGCGGCGCAGCGCUUCCGUCUCCAGAACCCUGACCUGGACUCAGAGGCACUGCUGGCCCUGCCUCUGCCUCAACUGGUACAGAAGCUGCACAGUGGGGAGCUGUCUCCGGAGGCUGUGCUCUUCACCUACUUGGGAAAGGCCUGGGAAGUGAACAAAGGGACUAACUGUGUGACUGCCUACCUGGCAGACUGUGAGGCUCAGCUGUGCCAGGCCCCGAGGCAGGGCCUGCUCUACGGCGUCCCAGUGAGCCUCAAGGAGUGCUUCAGCUACAAGGGCCAGGACUCGACACUGGGCUUGAGCCUGCACGAGGGGGCGCCAGCAGAGCGCGACAGCGUGGUGGUGCAGGUGCUGAAGCGGCAGGGGGCCUUGCCCUUCGUGUACACCAAUGUCCCCCAGUCCAUGUUCAGCUAUGACUGUGGUAACCCCCUCUUUGGCCAGACCGUGAACCCAUGGAAGUCUUCCAAGAGCCCAGGUGGCUCCUCAGGGGGUGAGGGGGCCCUCAUUGCGGCUGGGGGCUCCCCACUGGGCUUAGGCACCGACAUCGGAGGAAGCAUUCGCUUUCCCUCUGCCUUCUGUGGCAUCUGCGGCCUCAAACCCACAGGGAACCGCAUCAGCAAGAGUGGCCUGAAGGGCUGUGUCUAUGGACAGGUAGCAGGUGAGGUCUGUGGUUCCCUCUAUGCCCUGGAGGAGGGGGGUCUGCCUGAUCUGCCUCUGCCCCUGCCUCUCCUUGGGGCAGUGUUGGGCCCCCAGGCCACUCUAGGUCUGAGUUCCUGCGCCUUGUCCCUGUUCACACUACGGGCCACGGCCCAGUCCUUGCUUGGACCUGGCCCCAGAGCUCCUUGGGGCUGGGUGAUCUCUCUCUCCUCCCCUCCCUGCCCCACAGUACAGCUCUCGGUCGGCCCCAUGGCCCGGGACGUGGAGAGCCUGGCGCUGUGCCUGCGAGCACUGCUGUGUGAGGACAUGUUCCACCUGGACCCCUCCGUGCCCCCCCUGCCCUUCAGGGAGGAGGUCUACACAAGCUCUCAGCCCCUGCGUGUGGGGUAUUAUGAGACUGACAACUAUACCAUGCCCACCCCGGCCAUGACACGGGCCCUGCUGGAGACCAAGAAGAGACUCGAAGCUGCUGGCCACACGCUGGUUCCCUUCCUGCCAAGCAACAUACCCCAUGCUCUGGAGACCCUGUCGACGGGUGGGCUGUUCAGUGACGGUGGCAAGAGCUUCCUACAGAACUUCAAAGGUGAUUUCGUGGACCCCUGCUUGGGAAACCUGAUCUCAGCUCUGAGGCUGCCCAGCUGGCUUAAAGGACUGCUGGCUUUCAUGCUAAGGCCUCUGCUCCCAAGGUUGUCAGCCUUUCUCAACAGCAUGAAGUCUCGGUCAGCUGGAAAACUCUGGGAACUGCACCACGAGAUUGAGGUGUACCGUCACUCUGUGAUUGCCCAGUGGAGAGCAGUGGAGCUGGAUGUGCUGCUCACCCCCAUGCUGGGCCCUGCUCUAGACUUGAAUGGCCCAGGCAAGGCCACAGGGUGCCAUUUCACAGGGUGGAAGACUGGGGCUCAGAGAGGACAGUUGUCAUGGAAGGUCACCCAACCUGCUCCAGCCACAUGUGCUGUGUCUCAGGGGCCAUCAGCUACACUCUGCUCUACAACUGCCUGGACUUCCCUGCGGGGGUAGUGCCUGUCACCACGGUGACCGCCGAGGACGAGGCCCAGUUGGAGCAUUACAAGGGCUGCUUUGGGGAUAUCUGGGACAAGGCGCUGCAGAAGGCCGUGAAGAAGAGCGUGGGCCUGCCUGUGGCUGUGCAGUGCGUGGCUCUGCCGUGGCAGGAAGAGCUGUGUCUGCGGUUCAUGCGGGAGGUGGAGCGACUGAUGACCCCUGAGAGGCAGCCAUGCUGACUGCCGCCGCCUGGCCCUAGAGGACCU